rnacentral:tRNA from 1 species
AGCUUUAUAUUCAUAAAUGAUUUUAAAUUGCAAAUUUAAAGGUGGAAAUUUUUCUUAAGGCUU